UACGGAGGGGGCUAGCGUUGUUCGGAAUUACUGGGCGUAAAGCGCACGUAGGCGGACUGGAAAGUUGGGGGUGAAAUCCCGGGGCUCAACCCCGGAACUGCCUUCAAAACUAUCAGUCUGGAGUUCGAGAGAGGUGAGUGGAAUUCCGAGUGUAGAGGUGAAAUUCGUAGAUAUUCGGAGGAACACCAGUGGCGAAGGCGGCUCACUGGCUCGAUACUGACGCUGAGGUGCGAAAGCGUGGGGAGCAAACAGG
rnacentral:rRNA from 1 species